GUUCCAUGAUGAUUUCCCCAUGCGUGUCAUCUGACCCCCUCGUGGCCCCCCCCGAUUGUCCCCUCGGCCGGCGUUCUGCUGGGCCGGGGGGAGGAAUCCCUGGGGCCAGGGGGAAAGUGAUCAUACUUUGAUAACGUCCCUGAGAUC